AUGUAUGCCGGUUCCAACCCCACCUCAGAGAUCAGGAACUCCGACUUCCUCUGCAGCAGACCAUCUGAAAGUGUCCUUCAAGUAGUCCACUUUGGCGGCGACAUCCUUCUCGCGGAGAAACGCAAGGGCAUUCAGCAUGCGCCAGAACAUCCUGGAGCCGCGGGGCACGCCUAGGCCUUCGGCGCGCGCCGCCAUCGCCCGGACGCGCUCCACAUUGGAGGUGAGCAUCCUCGGCUGCGCGACACACAGCUUGGCAAUAUCACAAGCACCUAUCGUGCACUCCCUCAGGAACGCGGCGUUGGGCUUGACCACCCUCUCGAGGUUGGAGGAGAGGAUGUAGGGGCUGCGGUCGAGCACCCGGAGGAGCUUCCCGGAGGAGCCGAAGAGGGCCAGGUAGUAGCGCAGCCUGUCGAUGAUGGCUCUGCAGCGGAACUUCUCGCCGGCGACCGAGACGAGGUGCGCGAUCUCAGGACGCGAGAGGCCGAGGCCGGUGAGCCCGUCGACGACGGGGGCCAGGGUCUUCUCCACGCUGGCGCAGAGGAACUGCGGGUCCUUGGCGACGACGGAGGCGACGUCGGCGGCGGAGAGGCCGAGGCCGGCGAGGAAGGCGAGCACGGCGUCGGGCUUGGCGGGUGA
rnacentral:rRNA from 1 species